UACGUAGGCAGCGAGCGUUGUUCGGAGUUACUGGGCGUAAAGGGUGUGUAGGCGGUUCUCUAAGUUUGGUGUGAAAUCUCCCGGCUCAACCGGGAGGGUGCGCCGAAAACUGGAGGGCUAGAGUGCGGGAAGGGAGAGUAGAAUUCCUGGUGUAGCGGUGAAAUGCGUAGAUAUCUGGAGGAAUACCGGUGGUGCAGACGGCUCUCUGGACCGCGACUGACGCUGAGACACGAAAGCGUGGGUAGCAAACAGG
rnacentral:rRNA from 1 species